rnacentral:rRNA from 1 species
GACGAACGCUGGCGGCGUGCUUAACACAUGCAAGUCGAGCGGUAAGGCCCUUUCGGGGGUACACGAGCGGCGAACGGGUGAGUAACACGUGGGUGACCUGCCCUUAGCUCUGGGAUAAGCCUGGGAAACUGGGUCUAAUACCGGAUAUGACUCCAUGACGCAUGUUGUGGGGUGGAAAGCCUUGUGCGGCUAGGGAUGGGCCCGCGGCCUAUCAGCUUGUUGGUGGGGUGAUGGCCACCAAGGCGACGACGGGUAGCCGGCCUGAGAGGGCGACCGGCCCACACUGGGACUGAGACACGGCCCAGACUCCUACGGGAGGCAGCAGGUGGGGAAUCUUGCGCAAUGGGCGAAAGCCUGACGCAGCGACGCCGCGUGA